rnacentral:rRNA from 1 species
GACGAACGCUGGCGGCGUGCUUAACACAUGCAAGUCGAACGGAAAGGCCCUGCUUGCAGGGUGCUCGAGUGGCGAACGGGUGAGUAACACGUGGGUGAUCUGCCCCUUACUUUGGGAUAAGCCUGGGAAACUGGGUCUAAUACUGGAUAGGACCAUGCUGUAGGUGGUGUGGUGGAAAGAUUAGUUUCGGUAAGGGUUGAGCUCGCGGCCUAUCAGCUUGUUGGUGGGGUAAUGGCCUACCAAGGCGUCGACGGGUAGCCGGCCUGAGAGGGUGGCCGGCCACAUAGGGACUGAGAUACGGCGCAGACUCCUACGGGAGGCAGCAGUGGGGAAUAUUGCAAAAUGGGCGAAAGCCUGAUGCAGCGACGCCGCGUGGGGGAUGACGGCCUUCGGGUUGUAAACUCCUUUCAGCCAUGACGAAGCCCUUGUGGUGACGGUAGUGGUAGAAGAAGCACCGGCUAACUACGUG